UGGGAGGCCUGGCCCACCGGGACAGCCCGGAUUAGCUGGAUCUUGUGUGCUGUCCCUGUUGCCAAGCAACGUGUCUCCUGCUCUCACCAGCGGAGCCAGCUCUGGUUACCAGUGACAACCCCUGGGGGAGAGUGCCAGGAGAGACACAAGGCAGGCAGGAGGGCAGUGGAGGAGGCCAAGCCCUUCCCAGACAGCGCAGCAUUUCACAGGGAAGGAACCCGAUCCUCGGGUAGGGCCACGACUCUCCCGCAGACAGCCUGCGGCAUAGCUGGGACCGGACCGACAUCUACACAUUCCGAGUCCUCAGGUCAAGGAAAGGAGCGGGACGGCAGAGCCUAGAGGAAGGCCCAGGGCUGCAUACACCAGGCCAGCCGGGUCCUGGACACUGCGUUGGGUCCCGCCCCCCACUCCAGCCGCGGUGGGGACACAGAUGCGUCCGUCUGAUGGGAUCCCUGUCCUUCAAGAGCUCCUGGUCUGUCGGGGAGAUGGCCACUGUUCAUACUAAAGCCUAUACCACGACGCAGAAGGUGGUUCUGGACCAGCGGGAGGCACAGGUCCUCAGCUCCCCCAGGAGAAACCACCCCAGGGGGGCCGAAUUCUGUCAGUAUUUUGAGUUCCAAGGUUUUGUGUAGAUUCAUCUAGAAUCAUCUUCAUUCAGCAUCCUUUCAAUGAAUCGUUAUGGAGCAACUGCGGUGCUUUUAAUAAUAUCAACGCCCCAGCCCACCCCAGAACUCCUGGAUCAGAGUCAUAAGGAUACCACGCUCGUUCCUCAGAGAGGGUGGCUAGAACCGGACAGUCGAGAGAGAUCUGGAAAGAAGGUGCUACGUUUCCGGGGGCCUGGAUGGACUGUCACUCUGGGGGGUUGCUGAGUGGACCACACCAGAUGUGAAGAAGGCGGUUAAGUGACUCUGUAGGGGAGCAGUGAGAAAAGAGACCCAGAGGCAGUAGUUGAAUGAUUUUUACUUUUUGCAUAAACUUGUAUGUUCUCACCAAAAGGCCAAACUUCAGGAAGGGAAGAUUCCCUGAGGUUUAGGAGGUCUCCCUUACAGCAAAACUUCUUGUGUGUUAGGCAACCUGGUGGUCCCACCUCCUGGGAGGUCACCAUAUUGACACCAUGCCAGAUCCCAUCUCUAAAUAAAUA